rnacentral:rRNA from 1 species
AUGGCGGCGGGGACCUUGCUCGCGGCAUGGGUGGCCCGCAGGCAUGGCGGUGAGCUUCUCAUGGACAGCGACGGCGGCACAACGGCGUUGGUGAUCAGAUCUGACAUGGACGGCUCUGGCUGUCCCCUUCAUCGUCGGCAGGGUCAUGGGUUCUUGGGCGCGGCGCAGCGAGCAUGUGUGGCGGCUGUUCUUCAGAUCUGCUGGGAGUUGCGCUGGCCUGCACGGCAGAGGAUGGUGGCGGAAAAUGAUCUCCACAAAUGUAACAAUGUCUACUCACCGCCCAGUUCUCAUCUGCUGAAGCUAGUAAACUAG